rnacentral:rRNA from 1 species
GAUGAACGCUGGCGGCGUGCUUAACACAUGCGAGUCGAACGAGAAGUGAAGACGGAAACCUUCGGGCGGAAGGCUUUAUUUCGAGUGGCGGACGGGUGAGUAACGCGUGGGUAACCUGCCUCAUACAGGGGGAUAACAGUUGGAAACGACUGUUAAUACCGCAUAAGACCACAGCACCGCAUGGUGCGGGGGUAAAAACUCCGGUGGUAUGAGAUGGACCCGCGUUCGAUUAGCCAGUUGGCGGGGUAACGGCCCACCAAAGCGACGAUCGAUAGCCGAUCUGAGAGGAUGACCGGCCACAUUGGGACUGAGACACGGCCCAAACUCCUACGGGAGGCAGCAGUGGGGAAUAUUGCACAACGGGGGAAACCCUGAUGCAGCGACGCCGCGUGAGUGAAGAAGUAUUUCGGUAUGUAAAGCUCUAUCAGCAGGGAAGAAAAUGACGGUACCUGAGUAAGAAGCCCCGGCUAACUACGUG